GUUCAUUACUUCGCAGUCACGAGGAAGGAGAGAUGAGGUCACUCAGGAAGCCAGGGGCCGAGGAAAGCCUGAUUCCCAGCCCCACGGAGCAGAAAAGGUGGAUGAUCCUGAAACACAAGGGCCUACAUUCCUGCAUGGUGAUAACUGGCUGGAGCAGGGUAAGUGCUUCCUCCCAAGAUCAUCACAGCCCCACCGCUGGACCACACUGAGACUCCCUGGGGCAGCCAUGGGAUGUUUAAUUCUUCCUGGGUGGGCUCACUACAUGCCUGCAGGCCUCAUUCCUUCCAGGACAGCAGCUGGUACAUUUCCCCCAGGGGAAUGUGCUCUGGAGGGAGGGAUGCCAUCUCUCCCAUUCUUCCAUUAUUUGUGGGUGCAGGGCUCUCUCUGCUCUGAUGUGGGCUAUUAAUUAAUCCUGGGCAGCAUAAUUAGCCACCAAGGUCUCAGGUCACAGGAGGUGCAAGUCUCUGUUCUCUGCCCUGGUGCCCCACACGGGGAGUGCCUGCGUGUGCAGUCGUGU
ensembl:lncRNA